GAUGAACGCUGGCGGCGUGCCUAACACAUGCAAGUUGAACGAAGCUCCUGCGACAGAUUCCUUCGGGAUGAAGAUGCUUGAGACUUAGUGGCGGACGGGUGAGUAACGCGUGGGUAACCUGCCCUGUACUGGGGGACAACAGUUAGAAAUGACUGCUAAUACCGCAUAAGCCUACGGAGUCGUAUGACUCAGCAGGAAAAAUUCCGGUGGUACAGGAUGGGCCCGCGUCUGAUUAGCUAGUUGGUGAGGUAAUGGCUCACCAAGGCGACGAUCAGUAGCCGGCUUGAGAGAGUGAACGGCCACAUUGGGACUGAGACACGGCCCAAACUCCUACGGGAGGCAGCAGUGGGGAAUAUUGCACAAUGGGGGAAACCCUGAUGCAGCAACGCCGCGUGAGUGAAGAAGUAUUUCGGUAUGUAAAGCUCUAUCAGCAGGGAAGAAAAUGACGGUACCUGACUAAGAAGCACCGGCUAAAUACGUGCCAGCAGCCGCGGUAAUACGUAUGGUGCAAGCGUUAUCCGGAUUUACUGGGUGUAAAGGGAGCGCAGGCGGUCUGGCAAGUCUGAUGUGAAAAUCCGGGGCUCAACUCCGGAACUGCAUUGGAAACUGUCAGACUAGAGUGUCGGAGAGGUAAGUGGAAUUCCUAGUGUAGCGGUGAAAUGCGUAGAUAUUAGGAGGAACACCAGUGGCGAAGGCGGCUUACUGGACGAUAACUGACGCUGAGGCUCGAAAGUGUGGGUAGCAAACAGGAUUAGAUACCCUGGUAGUCCACACCGUAAACGAUGAUUACUAGGUGUUGGAGGAUUGACCCCUUCAGUGCCGCAGUUAACACAAUAAGUAAUCCACCUGGGGAGUACGACCGCAAGGUUGAAACUCAAAGGAAUUGACGGGGGCCCGCACAAGCAGUGGAGUAUGUGGUUUAAUUCGACGCAACGCGAAGAACCUUACCAAGUCUUGACAUCCUGCGACGAUGCUGGAAACAGUAUUUUCCUUCGGGACGCAGAGACAGGUGGUGCAUGGUUGUCGUCAGCUCGUGUCGUGAGAUGUUGGGUUAAGUCCCGCAACGAGCGCAACCCUUACUGUCAGUUACUACGCAAGAGGACUCUGGCAGGACUGCCGUUGACAAAACGGAGGAAGGUGGGGAUGACGUCAAAUCAUCAUGCCCUUUAUGACUUGGGCUACACACGUACUACAAUGGCGUUAAACAAAGAGAAGCAAGACCGCGAGGUGGAGCAAAACUCAGAAACAACGUCCCAGUUCGGACUGCAGGCUGCAACUCGCCUGCACGAAGUCGGAAUUGCUAGUAAUCGUGGAUCAGCAUGCCACGGUGAAUACGUUCCCGGGCCUUGCACU
rnacentral:rRNA from 1 species